GAUGAAGAACGUAGCGAAAUGCGAUAAGUAAUGUGAAUUGCAGAAUUCAGUGAAUCAUCGAAUCUUUGAACGCACAUUGCGCCCGCCAGUAUUCUGGCGGGCAUGCCUGUUCGAGCGUCAUUACAACCCUCAGGCCCCCGGGCCUGGCGUUGGGGAUCGGCAGAAGCCCCCUGUGUGCACACGCCGUCCCUCAAAUACAGUGGCGGUCCCGCCGCAGCUUCCAUUGCGUAGUAGCUAACACCUCGCAACUGGAGAGCGGCGCGGCCAUGCCGUAAAACACCCAACUUCUGAAUGUUGACCUCGAAUCAGGUAGGAAUACCCGCUGAACUUAAGCAUAUCAAUAAGCGGAGGA
rnacentral:misc_RNA from 1 species